UGGGGGAUUUUGCACAAUGGGCGCACGCCUGAUGCAGCGACGCCGCGUGAGGGAUGAAGGCCUUCGGGUUGUAAACCUCUUUCGCUGGGUUGAUAGGCCAUGCUUUGGGUGUGGUUGAUUUGAACUGGUAAAGAAGUACCGGCUAACUACGUGCCAGCAGCCGCGGUAAUACGUAGGGUACUAGCGUUGUCCGGAUUUAUUGGGCGUAAAGGGCUUGUAGGUGGUUUGUCGCGUCUGUCGUGAAAUCCUGUGGCUUAACCAUGGGCUUGCGGUGGGUACGGGCAGGCUUGAGUGCGGUAGGGGAGACUGGAAUUCCUGGUGUAGCGGUGGAAUGCGCAGAUAUCAGGAGGAACACCGGUGGCGAAGGCGGGUCUCUGGGCCGUUACUGACACUGAGGAGCGAAAGCGUGGGGAGCGAACAGG
rnacentral:rRNA from 1 species